GAUGAACGCUGGCGGCGUGCUUAACACAUGCAAGUCGAACGAUGAAGCCCAGCUUGCUGGGUGGAUUAGUGGCGAACGGGUGAGUAACACGUGAGUAACCUGCCCUUAACUCUGGGAUAAGCCUGGGAAACUGGGUCUAAUACCGGAUAGGAGCGCCUACCGCAUGGUGGGUGUUGGAAAGAUUUAUCGGUUUUGGAUGGACUCGCGGCCUAUCAGCUUGUUGGUGAGGUAAUGGCUCACCAAGGCGACGACGGGUAGCCGGCCUGAGAGGGUGACCGGCCACACUGGGACUGAGACACGGCCCAGACUCCUACGGGAGGCAGCAGUGGGGAAUAUUGCACAAUGGGCGAAAGCCUGAUGCAGCGACGCCGCGUGAGGGAUGACGACCUUCGGGUUGUAAACCUCUUUCAGUAGGGAAGAAGCGAAAGUGACGGUACCUGCAGAAGAAGCACCGGCUAACUACGUG
rnacentral:rRNA from 1 species